UUAAUUGAGAUACUUGGUUUCCAACUUCCUGUCUUACUGCCAUAGAUAAUCACUGAUGAAACCAAACAGACAACACCUUUUGGUGGCCUGUGGAGAACGCUGCCCCGUCUGGGUCUUAGGAACGCAGUUGAAUAUGAAUGUUCUCCCGAGUGCUUGCGGAAAAGAAAUGGUGUUAGCCACCUUUUAGACGAAUAGAAAUGAGUACUAGUGAACAGUAAUCGUAGUGACUGAACAGUAAACGGCUCCCACUUCUUGUCCAAAUCACCGAUUCUCCAUUUUCCAGCCCGUCCUGCUGCAGCCUGCCCUGAGCUCCGGAAGCUGGUGGUGCCCCUCAGUGGAUCUUCACCCACAGGAGCACCUGCUGCAGACCAGUGACUUCAAAAGUGAAAUGACUGCCAAAAACUCCACGGCCUCCAAGUUUCUUCCUUCACAUCCAAGCAAGAGAGACUUCACAGUGAUGGACCAGCUAAGUCAUGUGCCCACUCCUGGCCAGUCCAUCACGCGGGUAGCAGAGUCCCUGAGAUGAUCGGCUUAGGCCUGAGUGCACCAAGCCUGGGCGGAGAGUACAUGGUUCUGCACAGGGGUCGGGGUCUGUGGCCUUGGUACCUCCCCAGCCAGAAGAUCACACGUGCCCCUGGAUCUCACAGCCUCUUCAGGAGCGAGCCCUGGACAGCAUUGUCAACAAGACGGGUGCUCGGUGCUUUCCCUGUUUUCUAUCAGAGAAGGUUCUGGUUUCUGAUGACUCCAACCUGCAUGCAGAUUACAUGCCAGCAGGGAGUUGAUGGCAACUGGAAUCGUGCCAACUUCACUUCCUACUGUGAUCCGACAGCCCUUGGCCUGCCCUCUAACCCUCUCCCCUCCAAAGUCGUCUCUCAAGCCUCAGUGGAACAAUCACAGCUCUUCCUCACAGCACAGGGCAACCUGGACCCGGUCUUACGGCUCUCCCAUCUGAUCUGGGAACUAGGACUGCUCAUCUACUAAGACUACAUUGAGGGGGCUGGGCGCGGUGGCUCACGCCUGUAAUCCCAGCACUUUGGGAGGCCAAGACAGGCAGAUCACCUAAGGUCAGGAGUUUGAGACCAGCCUGGCCAACAUGGUGAACCACGUCUCUACUAAAAAUACAAACUUAGCUGAGCAUGGUGGUGCAUGCCUGUAAUCUCAGCUACUUGGGAGGCUGAAGCAGGAGAAUCGCUUGAACCCAUGAGGUGGAGGUUGCAGUGAGCCGAGAUCGCGCCACUAUACUCCAGCCUGGGUGACAGAGCGAGACUCCGCCUCAAAAAAAAAAAAAAGAAAAGAAAAAAAGAAAAAACUUGGCAAUGACAGCACCAGGGCCUUCUCUGACAGCAGCCUGGAUGGAGAGUGAAUUACCCGGGAAAUGCAGCAGAGGCCGGGGUAGAACGAGGGUGCCCAGGCAGGAGCCAGGGUGACCCCAUCUACUCUCCGGUCACUGGGGGCUGGGACAGUGGUGGCGUUGUCUUCAAAGCAAGGUGAGCUUGACGGAGGCUGGGAUCCUCAGGACUGGGCUGCUGGCCUCUGCACUGUCGGUAUGAGGGCCAACAUGAUUACAUGUUCUUCUCUUAGUUUGGUCACAUUAUUUUGAGUCAUGUCACUCUCACCUGAAACUACAGCUAACAAUAAACUGACCUGUUAUCCACACCCGACUGGCAACUUAGACUGGGUGAAAUGGAUUGUGUUUUCUGAUCCCUCCUGUCAUACAGCUCGUAUGGGCUACAGACAAAUAUGAAUGCAUUAUUAACAAACCGGCAGACUGCGCAGGGGAGAGCGCAGAUGGCUGCAUAUGUUAAGAGCUGGAGGCAUUAAUUAUGAAGCAUCCUUAUCUUCUGGGGUUCACUCACGUCAUGACAGUACAAGUGUUUUCCUGGUAAAUCUACUGACAUUCUGUAAGUAAAGUCAACCUUCAGUGAGGCUUUCUUAAAUUCGAACCAAUUUAUCAAAAUAAAUACAAGUGAGGAUUUUCUUUAAGGUUCUAUUAAAUGUUUUAAUAAGCUUCCUUUUGGAAGGGGCCAAUUAAAUUAAUUAAUUAAACCAUGACAUUAAAAAAAGAAAAACAACCUAAUAAUGGUUCUGGCGAAGUAGAAUUUUAC
rnacentral:lncRNA from 10 species